rnacentral:rRNA from 1 species
AUGCAUCAGCUUGGAGGAGAGCGCCGCUGCUGGACUGUCUGUGUAACGAUCCUGCGGAGCAGUGAUUGGAAUGCACACAUUCCGGAUGUUCCUCCUAUGGGUUAUGAACCACCGCCGGCUGACGGGAUCCCACACCCUCUGUUUGGUGAUGGACUGACGGCGGAGCAGAUGUAUCAGGCACAGCUGCACAAUUGGCUUGCUCAGAAUGCUGCGCCCAAUCAGAACAAUGAGGAGGUUCAGCUGCAAGGCAACGAUGUCCACUUCCAAGCAAACUGGGGUGCCUGGCCACCUUCCCCACCACCAGCUGUCUACAAUUACCAAGCGUGGCUCGCUGCUGAGGGCUUACAUGUGCAAGAUGGUAUCCUCCCGGCCAACAAUCUGCAUGACAGCCCUAGCAUGGCCUGA